GACCGGGUAGCUCAGCUGGUAGAGCAACGGACUUUUAAUCCGUAGGUCGUGGGUUCGAAACCCACCCCGGUCA
rnacentral:tRNA from 1 species